AUUGAACGCUGGCGGCAGGCCUAACACAUGCAAGUCGAGCGGUUGAAGGGAGCUUGCUCCUGGAUUCAGCGGCGGACGGGUGAGUAAUGCCUAGGAAUCUGCCUGGUAGUGGGGGAUAACGUCCGGAAACGGGCGCUAAUACCGCAUACGUCCUGAGGGAGAAAGUGGGGGAUCUUCGGACCUCACGCUAUCAGAUGAGCCUAGGUCGGAUUAGCUAGUUGGUGGGGUAAAGGCCUACCAAGGCGACGAUCCGUAACUGGUCUGAGAGGAUGAUCAGUCACACUGGAACUGAGACACGGUCCAGACUCCUACGGGAGGCAGCAGUGGGGAAUAUUGGACAAUGGGCGAAAGCCUGAUCCAGCCAUGCCGCGUGUGUGAAGAAGGUCUUCGGAUUGUAAGGCACUUUAAGUUGGGAGGAAGGGCAGUAAGUUAAUACCUUGCUGUUUUGACGUUACCAACAGAAUAAGCACCGGCUAACUUCGUG
rnacentral:rRNA from 1 species